UCGGUCUGUAAAGCCCUUUUGCCAGGAAAGACUUAGGACGGUACCUGGCGAAUAAGCCCCGGCUAACUACGUGCCAGCAGCCGCGGUAAUACGUAGGGGGCAAGCGUUGUCCGGAUUUACUGGGCGUAAAGGGCGCGCAGGCGGCCUGUUAAGUGUGAAGUGAAAUCUCCUGGCUCAACCAGGAAAUUGCUUUGCAUACUGGCAGGCUAGAGAAAGGCAGAGGUAGAUGGAAUUCCCGGUGUAGCGGUGACAUGCGUUGAUAUCGGGAGGAACACCAAUGGCGAAGGCAGUCUACUGGGCCUCUUCUGACGCUCAGGCGCGAAAGCGUGGGUAGCAAACAGGAUUAGAUACCCUGGUAGUCCACGCCCUAAACGAUGGAUACUAGGCGUUAGGGGUAUCGACCCCCUUAGUGCCGCAGCAAACGCGAUAAGUAUCCCGCCUGGGGACUACGGCCGCAAGGCUGAAACUCAAAUGAAUUGACGGGGACCCGCACAAGCGGUGGAGCAUGUGGAUUAAUUCGAUACUAACCGAAGAACCUUACCCAGACUUGACAUCGAGGGACCGGCUAUGAAAGUAGCUUUCCGCCCCACAAGGGCGGCCCAAAGACACCUGUUGCAUGGCUGUCGACAGCUCGUGCCGUGAGGUGUUUGGUUAAGUCCAGCAACGAGCGCAACCCUCGUCCUAUGUUGCCAACAGGUAAUGCUGGGAACUCAUAGGAGACCGCCGGCGCAAGCCGGAGGAAGGUGAGGAUGACGUCAAGUCAGCAUGGCGGUUACGUCUGGGGCUUCACACAUGCUACAAUGGAUGCAACAAAGGGGAGCGAGACCGCGAGGUUAAGCGAAUCCCAAAAAUACAUCCUCAGUUCGGAUUGCAGUCUGCAACUCGACUGCAUGAAGGCGGAAUCGCUAGUAAACGCAGGUCAGCUAUACUGCGUUGAAUACGUUCCCGGGUCUUGUACACACCGCCCGUCAAGUCACCCGAAUUGUCUGCACCCGAAGUCCGUGGCCUAACCGUAAGGAAGGAGCGGCC
rnacentral:rRNA from 1 species